rnacentral:lncRNA from 1 species
GCCAUACACUAUAUAAGAGUAGAGAGAAAAACUAACCUCCAGGUGUUUACCAGAGUGAGCUGUCAGGAAGAUAAAAUCAACAUCAAGACUGUUUUUUGUUUUACAAUAUGGUGAGAGCAAUAGAAAAGUAAUAAUUAGCAUUUAGUGAACACCUGAGGUGAAUGCAAUCACUAGUCCCAUUUUUGCAGAUGAGCAAAGUGUAUCAUUCAGGCUACUGCCCAGCCCUUACAAAGCACCCACUGACACAGCUGACAGCAUGCAAUGCAUCACCAGGCCUCACAGCCCCACUGCCAGGUGCGGCCAGCAGCACCACCAUGUUACUGGGCCUCACAGCCCUGCUGCCAGGUGUCAUCUGCUCAUGCUUCUCUCCAGGAAACAGAGGCUACUGUGCAGGCUCCUCAGCAAACAGAUUAUGCCAUGAUGUUAUUACUAUCUCUUUCAAUAACCAUUCAGUGAAACCUGAAAUGAUAGGACUAUCAUCUGCCAGAGAUGCAGGACUGUAA